CUGAUCUUUUAUGGAAAACAUCGA
rnacentral:siRNA from 1 species